AAGGGANAGNCAACCGCACAAACAGGNGNAGCAUUCNNNUUUNAUUUGAAGGUACGNGAAGAACCUUAACCUANACUAANACAUCCCUGGNCAAUUCUAAUAGAAAAAUAGCNGUGGUUAACCCNNNUGAGCAGGUGGUGCCAUGGUUGUCGUCAGCUAGUGUCGUGAGAUGUUCGGUUAAGUCCGAUAACGAGCGCAACCCUUAUUNCUAGUUACUANCAUUUAGUUGGGUUCUCUAGCGAUACUCCCGGUGACAAACCGGAGGAAGGUGGGGACGACGUCAAAUCAUCAUGCCCCUUACGUCUAGGGCUACAGGCGUGCUACAAUGGCCGAUACAAAGAGACGCAAUGCCGUGAGGUGGAGCAAAUCUCCAAAAUCGGUCCCAGUUCGGAUUGGAGUCUGCAACUUCGACUCCAUGAAGUUGGAAUCGCUAGUAAUCGUGAAUCAGAAUGUUCAGGGUGAAUACGUUUCCCGGGUGUUGUACACACCGCCCGUCACGCUAUGAGAGUCUGUAAUACCCGAAGUCGGUAUCCUAACCUUUAGGGAGGGGGCCAACGAAGGUUUUNAUAGGCGGAG
rnacentral:rRNA from 1 species